CAAGAUCCAUGGAUUUGUGAUGAGCAGGCACUAUGGCCUAACUAAAACCUGAAGCCCACACCACAGACCUGAAGGAUCUCUUCUAUCUGCAGGGCUGAAUAACCACAGCACUUUGUAAGAUCAAGUCCUCUUCUUAUUAGUGUUGUUCAUACUUUGCACAGUCUGGA